rnacentral:rRNA from 1 species
ACACAUGCAAGUCGUACGAGAACUCUUCUGCUUGCAGAAGAUAGUAAAGUGGCGCACGGGUGAGUAACGCGUGGGUAAUCUACCUCUAACUCGGGGAUAACAUUGCGAAAGUGAUGCUAAUACCGGAUAAUAUCUUAUUUGCUUCGGCAUUUAAGGUCAAAGGUGGCCUCUAUAUAUAAGCUACUGAUUGGAGAUGAGCCCGCGUACCAUUAGCUUGUUGGUAGGGUAAUGGCCUACCAAGGCUACGAUGGUUAGCUGGUCUGAGAGGAUGAUCAGCCACACUGGAACUGACACACGGUCCAGACUCCUACGGGAGGCAGCAGUGAGGAAUUUUGCGCAAUGGGGGAAACCCUGACGCAGCAACGCCGCGUGAGUGAUGAAGGCUUUCGGGUCGUAAAGCUCUGUCAAGUGGGAAGAACAAGCUUGAUGUUAAUAUCAUCAAGAACUGACGGUACCACUGAAGGAAGCACCGGCUAACUCCGUGCCAGCAGCCGCGGUAAUACGGGGGGUGCAAGCGUUAUUCGGAAUCAUUGGGCGUAAAGAGCGCGUAGGCGGCCCAUUAAGUCAGAUGUGAAAUCCCGGGGCUUAACCCCGGAAGUGCAUUUGAAACUAUUGGGCUUGAGUAUGGGAGAGGGAAGUGGAAUUCCUGGUGUAGAGGUGAAAUUCGUAGAUAUCAAGGAGGAACAUCGGUGGCGGACGCGACUUCCUGGACCAAUACUGACACAUGCAACG